rnacentral:misc_RNA from 1 species
AACAUCGCGCACCUGCGGGAACCUGCGGAAGGAUCAUUACAGAGUUGCAAAACUCCCUAAACCAUUGUGAACGUUACCUAAACCGUUGCUUCGGCGGGCGGCCCGGGUCCUUCCCGGCGCCCCCCGGCCCUCGCGGGCGCCCGCCGGAGGUAAACCAAACUAUUGCAUUGUAUGGCCUCUCUGAGUCUUCUGUACUGAAUAAGUCAAAACUUUUAACAAUGGAUCUCAGAUCGGAAGAGC